rnacentral:snRNA from 1 species
GUGCUCGCUUUGGCAGCACAUAUACUAAAAUUGGAAUGAUACAGAGAAGAUUAGCAGGGCCCCUGCACAAGGAUGACACGCAAAUUCGUGAAGCGUUCCAUAAUUUU